rnacentral:misc_RNA from 1 species
GAAAUGCGAUACGCAAUGCGAAUUGCAGAAUUCCGCGAGUCAUCAGAUCUUUGAACGCAACUUGCGCUGAAGGGAUAUCCCUUCAGCAUGCUUGUUUCAGUGUCUAGAAACUUCAAAUAACUUAAUGUGAUUGAGAUGGUUUACUCCACUUCUCUCAUGAAAUAUGUAAAUGUGGAUCUUUUGAUCCAGCGAAGUAGUCACAUUUCAUAUGUGAUUUCGUUGGUAUUUCAAAUUAUCCGAAAACAUCUGCAAAAGACAAAACUCUUCAAUAUGCAUCUGAAAUCAAGCAAGAUUACCCGCUGAACUUAA